rnacentral:ncRNA from 1 species
AAGGCCUGAUGUGUGUGAGAUUACCCGCUGAAUUUAAGCAUAUAAGUAAGCGGAGGAAAAGAAACUAACUAGGAUUCCUUAGUAAUGGCGAAUGAACAGGGAUCAGCUCAGUGCCAAAUCGGAAUCACUUGUGGUUCUGAAAUGUGGCUUGAAGGCAGUACCAGUGGCAUCGCGGACGAAAGUCUCUUGGAAAAGAGCGUCAUAGAGGGUGAGAAUCCCGUGAGUCGUUCGCCGUUUGUCACGUACGGUCUGCGUUCUAACGAGUCGCGUUCCUUGGGAUUGGAGCGUAAACGGGUGGUAAAUUUCAUCCAAAGCAAAAUAUAUACUCGAGACCGAUAGCACAAAAGUACCGUGAGGGAAAGGUGAAAAGAACUUUGAGAAGAGGGUUAAAUAGUGCCUGAAAUCGUUGAGAAGGAAGCGGAUGCCGCCGUUGCAUAUGCUGAUUGUAGGAUUGCUGCUCGCUCCUGUCUUCUGCUACUCAUUCACAGACCUGGUCGUGUUGAGCAGUUGUUUGGCAGAUGUUAGUGGUGUUUCCUACUUUCAGUCGUCAGCAUCACUGGCUGAGUGGAAAUAAUCCUUGGAUGCUAAUUGGUUCGCUAUCUGUGAAUUGGUUGCUUCCUUGCGAUACUCACUACUCGGUCAGUGAGGAAGUGCGUUUGCUGGUCAACGAGCUUUCUAACUGUCAUUACCCUGCGCUUUUCGAUUCGUCGAGUGGCCAGGAUGUGGCUUUGAGAUUGUUCGCACUUAGUAAUCGCGAUGCUGGCUUCCAACGGUUGCCUCCGGCCCGUCUUGAAACACGGACCAAGGAGUCUAACGUAUGUGCGAGUGUGUGAGUGGCAAACUUAUACGCGUAAUGAAAGUGAGGCCGUAUGGCCAUGUUGGGGUCACCAACAACCGACCUUGAUCUUCGGUGAAAGGUUUGAGUAUGAGCAUAUCCGUUAGGACCCGAAAGAUGGUGAACUAUGCCUGAGCAGGGUGAAGCCAGGGAA